rnacentral:misc_RNA from 1 species
GCGAUCCCUUUGGAUGUCUUCUUGUUCAGUAAGUUUUGAAGCAUGUAAGAUGCUAGCUCAGAAGAUGCCUAGGCUUAAUGUGGAAGUCAUAGAUGAGAGGGGUCCUCCAGAUACAAGGCCAGAAAGCUGUCCUGUGGAGAAACUUUACAUAUAUCGAACAGUAGCUGGACGAAGAUUUGAUACACCUGGUUAUGUUUGGACAAUGGAUGAAGAUGCAGCUGUAAGCUUGACCUGAGCCAUACAUCAAAUGGGAAAUUCCAGCAAGACUUCACAUGGAAAGAUGGGCAGGUAUUAGCGCUAUGUUUAUCCUCCUGCAUUUGUUUGUCACGCCUUAUGUAGUUGCAGUGCCAGUUGAGGGUUGGAACUUCACUGCUAUGAAGUACGAGGCUCCCGAGCUCAUACGCCAUCAAUUUUAUUCAUGGCUGAGAGCUACUUCACAGCAGGUAGUUUUUAAUAAAGAGUUUGAACUCUGAGUUUCUGUGUAUCAUCUAGAAGUAACAAUUAUUCGUCUUCUUUGGGUGGGAUUUUG